rnacentral:rRNA from 1 species
GAUGAACGCUGGCGGCGUGCCUAAUACAUGCAAGUCGAGCGAACGGACGAGAAGCUUGCUUUUCUGAUGUUAGCGGCGGACGGGUGAGUAACACGUGGAUAACCUACCUAUAAGACUGGGAUAACUUCAGGAAACCGGAGCUAAUACCGGAUAAUAUUUUGAACCGCAUGGUUCAAAAGUGAAAGACGGUCUUGCUGUCACUUAUAGAUGGAUCCGCGCUGCAUUAGCUAGUUGGUAAGGUAACGGCUUACCAAGGCAACGAUGCAUAGCCGACCUGAGAGGGUGAUCGGCCACACUGGAACUGAGACACGGUCCAGACUCCUACGGGAGGCAGCAGUAGGGAAUCUUCCGCAAUGGGCGAAGGCCUGACGGAGCAACGCCGCGUGAGUGAUGAAGGUCUUCGGAUCGUAAAACUCUGUUAUUAGGGAAGAACAUAUGUGUAAGUAACUGUGCACAUCUUGACGGUACCUAAUCAGAAAGCCACGGCUAACUACGUG